rnacentral:rRNA from 1 species
AUUGAACGCUGGCGGCAGGCCUAACACAUGCAAGUCGAGCGGUUGAGGUAGCUUGCUACCGAUGCAGCGGCGAACGGGUGAGUAAUACAUGGGAAUCUGCCUGGUAGUGGGGGACAACGUUUCGAAAGGAACGCUAAUACCGCAUACGCCCUACGGGGGAAAGGGGGGGAUCGCAAGACCUCUCGCUGUCAGAUGAGCCCAUGUCAGAUUAGCUAGUUGGUGAGGUAAAGGCUCACCAAGGCGACGAUCUGUAACUGGUCUGAGAGGAUGAUCAGUCACACUGGAACUGAGACACGGUCCAGACUCGUACGGGAGGCAGCAGUGGGGAAUAUUGGACAAUGGGGGCAACCCUGAUCCAGCCAUGCCGCGUGUGUGAAGAAGGCCUUAGGGUUGUAAAGCACUUUCAGUGGGGAGAAAGGUGAUUCACCUAAUACGUGAGUCAAUUGAUGCUACCCACAGAAGAAGCACCGGCUAACUCCGUGCCAGCCGCCGCCGUAA